CGAAACUAUAUAACCCGGCAGUGUAUACUUCAGACGCGCAGAUGAUUUUUGUUUCUUACUGAGAACUAAGAUUCUUUGCUUUCAACAAGUAAUCAUUGUAUCGCUAUAAACAUUUUUAUUAUUCAAUAUUAUUUUAUAAUUUUAUUUAUUAUUCAUUAUUUUAUUAUUUUAUUUUAUUAAUUUAUUUAUUAUUCAUUAUUAUUAUUAUUAUUAUUUAUCAUGUAUUCAUGUACUAAAUGUGUAAGAACUUUUUGAACUCGAUCAAACAUGCGUAGACAAGAAAAAACGCAUUUGGGAAUAAGAAACCGAUGUGACUUUUGUGACGCAGAUUUUAAAUACUUUGGAGAUUUAAAAAAAACAUUUGAACAAACAUAUUACCAUAAUUUCGGAACAAAAUCGUCAGAGAGCUAGUGUAUUAUCACAUACUUCAAACUAUUAUGAUAAUGAACAUUUACAAACGUACAGUCCACCUCAAAUUAUCAAGACAUUUGGGGUGGUGAACUUGGGGAUCAAAACUGUUUAGAAGCCGAUUCAGCGUUAACCAGUACUGCUAGUUCUACCGCAGGUCGUCGAACAAAAAAACAACGUCUGGAAGAGGUUAAAACAGAAGGAUUCCAAUUAUUCCAGUCUACAUUUGGAGGUAUGAUAAAAAACUAUUAUAAGAAAAAUCUCAGUCUAUUGCCUCAUUACAAAUUGUUUCUCGAUGAAGCCAAGCCCGAGAUAAUAAAAUUGCUUAUUGAGUUAAUCUCAAAGAACUCAAUUAAAUUUAACUUAAAACUGGAGGGCACAUACAAAAUCCCCCAUACCAAAAGUUAUAGAAAAUAGGUCUUUCAAAACCUCUGCUCAAACACUAUGUAUGGCUGACAAUGAUUUGCAUGCCAUACUAGAAGAAGAAUUUAAUAAAUUAAUGCACGAAGAAGAAGUUUACCAAUCAAAAGGAUCGGGCUUUUCAAUUGACAGCGUCGAAGGUUUAUUACUAAGUGUGUAUCGUUAUAAACCACUCGGGGGCUCAUCAUAUUUCAAACUACCCGACAACAUUGAAGCACGUUAGGCAAUCAUUAAUGUAAAAAACAAUGAUGAGAUGUGUUUUAAAUAUAGUAUUAUGGCAAAAUAUGUUGACGCGCCAAAUCCAAGCAGAAUUAGUCACUACUUAAACGCACCAGUUAACUACGAUUUUUCAGAAUUAAACUAUCCAGUAGAAGUCAAGGACGUCAAAAAAUUCGAAAAAGGAAAUCCGGGUGUCUCUGUGAAUGUGUAUGGGUUGAAAAUAUGUGAGCCGACAUGCAACGUCGAUAAAAUCCACAACCCCCAAAAAAACAAAGAGUAUAUUGUUGUUCCUUACAAGAUAAAUGAUCAAGAGUUGAACAAUCAUUUCGAUAUUCUAUUGUUUAAUGAUGAUGAAUCAACUAAUGGUGAUAAAUAUCAUUAUGCCUACAUUAAGAAUUUUUCUCGUUUGGUAAGAUCGCAAAUUACUAAUCACAGAACUUCUCAAAACAAAUCAACCGAUGACGAUGACAAGGGAGGAUUGGAACGUUCAUAACGCUAUUUUAAGUGUAGGUAAAUGUCCAUUAUGUACAAGUCAAUUCACUGAAAGGAACCAUACCGUACGAAACCAUCACCAUUUAAGUGGCAAAUUUAGAAACACUGUAUGUAAUUCAUGUAACUUAAGAAUACAGACACCAAAAUUUGAACCUGUUUUCGCUCAUAAUAUGAAUUAUGAUAAAAGUUUCAUUAUUGGCGAGUUGGGUUUUGACGCACAUACACUAUCCGUGGUACCAAAUAGCGAAGAAAAGUUUAUAUUUUUUUCAAAGUACAUUUCAAACAAAUUUUCUAUACGUUUUCAGGACACAUUUAAAUUUAUGUCGUCAAGUUUAGAUGCGCUUAGUGCAAAUUUAGUUUGUUCAGACAAGUCUAAAUUCAAAUCUGUAAUGUCUGCAUAUCAGAGCAAAGAUUAGGAUUACGUUAUUUGGGAUAAUGAGUUGGAUGUACAACUUUUUUGUGAUGUAUUUGAAGCUUUCAGAGACGUAUGUUUAUCAACCUAUGGACUAGGCUCCUGUUUUUACUAUACCGCUCCGGGUUUAUCAUUUGACGCCAUGCUGAAAAUAACUAAAGUCGAGCUUGAACUUUUAACGGACUAUGAUAUGCUCUGUUCAUAGAAAACAGAAUAAGGGGUGGCAUCACUCAAGCUGUAAAAAGGUAUGCCAAGGCGAACAAUAAAUUUACGACUGGUUACGAUGUGAGUGAGCCGUCAAGCUGGCUAAUGUAUUUAGAUGCUACUAAUUUUUUCAGGUACGGAUGGGGUAUGAGUGAAGCUCUUCCACGAAAAAACUUUAGGUGGUAUGAAAAGGACAUAUCUGUAAGUGCUGUGACCAGUCUGCUAAAAAGGACCGGAUCGAACUCAAACACCGGCUAUAUUAUGGAGGUGGACGUUGAUUAUCCUCAGACUUUACACGAUACACACACUGACCUACCUUACUUGUGUGAAAGGUUUUUGCCACCAGGGGCAUUAGUUUCUAAACUUUGUACUACUUUAAUUAAUAAAAAAAAUUAUACUGUACACUAUACUGUUUUGAAACAGGCUAUGGACGUUGGGUUGAAACUGAAAAAAGAUUCAAAAAAUACACAGAGUAUUACAGUUUGAACAGAGCGCAUGGCUAUCAAAAUACAUUAAAUUAAACACGGAGAAAAUAAAGUUGGCUACUAAUGAUUUUUUUAAAGAUUUCUUUGAAUUAAUGAAUAACGCCGUAUUUGGAAAAACCAUGGAGUCAUGCAGAAAUAGAAUGAAAAUGUAGCUGGUAUCUAAUGCUCAAACAGCUCAGCGAUUAUUUAAUAAACCAAAUUUUAAAUACAUUACAUAUUAUACUGAUGAAUUCUGCGCCCCAUUCACUUGUUUCACGAUGCUCUUAUUUUUGAUAAACCUAUAUAUGCUGGUUUUAGCGUGUUAGAAAUAUCAAAAACAUUAAUGUAUGAUUUUCAUUACAACACCAUGAGAAAAAUGUAUAAUGGUCACAUUGAGCUUUGUUAUAUGGACACAGACGAAGCCCUUGGAAAAAUCAUAGCUGAACUUAUUGCUCUCAGGUUAAAAUCAUAUGGAUACGAAAUGGACGGUAAAGAGAAACUCAAGGCCAAAGGGGUCUCUAAGAUUGUAGUUAGUAAUCAUGUCACGUUAAUGGAUCAUAAACAAUGUCUUUUCAAGGGGUUGUCUACACCACACAUUCAAGAUAAUUACUCUGCUGAGCGGGAGAUGAUAUCAUUCAGGUCAAUCAAACAUAAAAUGAAAACGAUUAAGACUAGAAAACUUGCACUAAACCGUUAUGAUGAUAAGAUGAUAGUAUUAACGAAUCAGAUAGAUACUCUACCUCAUGGUCAUUAAAAAGUCGAGAAACUGAUUGAAGAAGGAAAACUGUAGUUAUAUCAACAAAAAAUGGAAAAUAUAGUGAGUUAAAAAUUGCUAUGAUGACACUAUAGGACCGAGAUAUUGAACGAGGAAAAAAUCUGUAGUCAAAAAAAAAAACGAUAAGUGAUAAGAGGAUAGUUGGUACAGAGUAAAGAAUCGGAUUGAAGAAGGAAAUCAUUAAUUUUAUUUAAUUAUUUAUUAUUAUUAUUAUUUUUUUUUUUCAAUUCUGAGUAAUAUUGUUUAUAAAAAUUAUUUUCGAAACACCUUUUAAUUGAAAGAAUUGUUUUUUUUGUUAUUAUAAUUGUGGAAGUCCAUAUCAUAUAUACAUUUUAAAAAUUAUAAGCUGUUUACAAUAAUAUUGAAGUAAAAAAUAAA